rnacentral:sRNA from 1 species
UCAUAGCGUGUUUAGAUAGAGGAUGUUAAGUGUGCACAACAUAUAAAUGGAACUAUUAUAGUAUACAUUAACAUGACUAAAAGCACAUUUCGCAGCUAAAGCGAACGAAUGUAUGUAACAUUGCUUUACCAACACAAAAUUUAAAGGUUACUUUGAUUAAAAUAUGAAAUGAAUGGACAUUAUUUUGUAUGUUUAUGUAUGAAGUAAAUUUAUUGUUGCAGAAUUAGAUAUAGAGUUAAAAGUUAGAUCUAGAAUUACAUGUAGAUUUCGAUCGAUUGUCUUUCUUUACAAUGAAAUAUUUAUUUAUAACAUUAUUAAAAGAACUGUAACUUUGACUUCUAAACGUAAAUGAAAUAAAGGUAAUGUCUCGCUGCAUUGUGGAGAAUUGUGGGUCGCAGAACUAUAAAGGUUGACAGUCGAUGCUAGAAUAUAGUGUAUACACUGAAGCCGGAUGCAUUUUACAGGAUAUCGUUUUAAAAACAUGUAUGACCAAGUAGCUCGCGAUAUUAUUAACAGACACACACUGCUGCUACACACCAAUGUGAAGCGAGCUAUUGCGAACGGGUGUGUUCUUGACAAGCGUAACAUGGGCAAAGAAAAGAGGGAUAAAACAGACAAUGCAGUAAAGGGAAAAAAGAGGACACUUAUAAGUUACUCUCUUACUUUCUUUAUUAUAUAAUUCUAGAGAUGAGGUUAUAUACAGAGGUAAGAGAUAUAGUAUAUGCAGUGACGUUUUUUGAAGACGUUCAGAAAGAUUUGGGAAAACUAAAGGAUGACAUCAAUAUAGUUCAGAAAAAAGGAGAAGAAUGGGUUAUAGAAGACAAUGCGCCAUUUGAUGAGAUGAAGAAAAUAAUGCAGACAGAGAAAGAAAAUUUAAUGCUUAAAAUAGUUGAUAUUCUAAAAGGUA